rnacentral:rRNA from 1 species
UACGUAGGGUGCAAGCGUUAAUCGGAAUUACUGGGCGUAAAGCGUGCGCAGGCGGUUUUGUAAGUCUGUCGUGAAAUCCCCGGGCUCAACCUGGGAAUUGCGAUGGAGACUGCAAGGCUAGAAUCUGGCAGAGGGGGGUAGAAUUCCACGUGUAGCAGUGAAAUGCGUAGAGAUGUGGAGGAACACCGAUGGCGAAGGCAGCCCCCUGGGCCAGUACUGACGCUCAUGCACGAAAGGCGUGGGGAGCAAACAAGGAU